UACGUAGGGUGCAAGCGUUAAUCGGAAUUACUGGGCGUAAAGCGUGCGCAGGCGGUUUUGUAAGUCUGACGUGAAAUCCCCGGGCUCAACCUGGGAAUUGCGUUGGAGACUGCAAGGCUAGAAUCUGGCAGAGGGGGGUAGAAUUCCACGUGUAGCAGUGAAAUGCGUAGAGAUGUGGAGGAACACCGAUGGCGAAGGCAGCCCCCUGGGUCAAGAUUGACGCCCAUGCACGAAAGCGUGGGGAGCAAACAGG
rnacentral:rRNA from 1 species